rnacentral:rRNA from 1 species
GUGCCAGCCGCCGCGGUAAUACGUAGGGGGCGAGCGUUGUCCGGAAUGAUUGGGCGUAAAGGGCGCGUAGGCGGCCAUGCAAGUCUGGAGUGGAAGUCCAUCUUUCAAGGGUGGAAUUGCUUUGGAAACUGUGUGGCUGGAGUGCAGGAGAGGUUAUCGGAAUUCCCGGUGUAGCGGUGAAAUGCGUAGAGAUCGGGAGGAACAUCAGUGGCGAAGGCGGGUAACUGGACUGCAACUGACGCUGAGGCGCGAAAGUGUGGGGAGCAAACAGGAUUAGAUACCCUGGUAGUCCACACCGUAAACGAUGAAUGCUAGGUGUAGGUGGUAUCGACCCCAUCUGUGCCGUAGUAAACACAAUAAGCAUUCCGCCUGGGGAGUACGGUCGCAAGAUUAAAACUCAAAGAAAUUGACGG